GAUGAACGCUGGCGGCGUGCUUAACACAUGCAAGUCGAACGGUGAAGCAGGAGCUUGCUCUUGUGGAUCAGUGGCGAACGGGUGAGUAACACGUGAGCAACCUGCCCCUGACUCUGGGAUAAGCGCUGGAAACGGCGUCUAAUACUGGAUAUGUGAUGUGACCGCAUGGUCUGCAUCUGGAAAGAAUUUCGGUUGGGGAUGGGCUCGCGGCCUAUCAGCUUGUUGGUGAGGUAAUGGUUCACCAAGGCGUCGACGGGUAUCCGGCCUGAGAGGGUGACCGGCCACAGUGGAACUGAGACACGGUCCAGACGCCUACGGGAGGCAGCAGUGGGGAAUAUUGCACAAUGGGCGGAAGCCUGAUGCAGCAACGCCGCGUGAGGGAUGACGGCCUUCGGGUUGUAAACCUCUUUUAGCAGGGAAGAAGCGAAAGUGACGGUACCUGCAGAAAAAGCACCGGCUAACUACGUGCCAGCAGCCGCCGUAA
rnacentral:rRNA from 1 species